rnacentral:rRNA from 1 species
AUUGAACGCUGGCGGCAGGCCUAACACAUGCAAGUCGAGCGCGCGGCGGACGGGUGAGUAAUGUCUGGGAAACUGCCUGAUGGAGGGGGAUAACUACUGGAAACGGUAGCUAAUACCGCAUACCAUCAGAUGUGCCCCGAUGGGAUUAGCGAGUAGGUGGGGUAACGGCUCACCUAGGCGCCGAUCCCUAGCUCGUCUGAGAGGAUGACCAGCCACACUGGAACUGAGACACGGUCCAGACUCCUACGGGAGGCAGCAGUGGGGAAUAUUGCACAAUGGGCGCAAGCCUGAUGCAGCCAUGCCGCGUGUGUGAAGAAGGCCUUCGGGUUGUAAAGCACUUUCAGCGGGGAGGCGUUACCCGCAGAAGAAGCACCGGCUAACUCCGUGCCAGCAGCCGCGGUAAUUA